GACAAGAUGGCCGAGUGGUUAUGGCGUGUGACUCAAGCGAACGCUUCCCUGCAUUUGAGGGUCCUUCUCAUGGGCUUUGCCCGCGUGGGUUCGAAUCCCACUCUUGUCA